GAUUCAAUCCAAAACUCCGCUCAUCCUCCAUCUCUCCGUUAAUGAAGUCGAACCAUCGCAAUCGCUAAGAAUCCAUAAAAAAAGUCAACCAUCAUCCCCACAACACUACUGAUUGAUUCAUCCAAUAUUGAUUCCGCUACAGAACUAGCGGUGAACGUGAGCGAGAGAGAGAAGGAGAAUGAAAAUUAGGGUUUUGUCUCUUUGGUUCUUUCGAUUAAUAGAGAAAGAAUAUUGUGCAUACUUGAAAU
rnacentral:lncRNA from 1 species